ensembl:lncRNA
UUUAAGGGUUGGCAGGGGAAGGGGGUGGGCAUAAGUGUCUUUUGUUGGAGAACUCUGCUUACCUGAGGCCUUCUGUGGAUGCUUGAACUGCCCAGAAAAUAGGAAUGAAUCUACACCAAAACAGAACAGGAAAGAUGCAUCUACUGCAGAGUAUUUUACUGUCCAGCGUUCUAUAGGUUGUUGUCAGCAUUUGCAAAAAGCACAAGCAACUACAAAGAUCAAGAUUAGCAGAAAAUAAAAACAGGAGACUUUGUACAAAAGGAAAAUUCGGAGAUGAAUUCAGUGAUGAGUCUGCUAGAGGUAUGCUACAGAGAUGGCCGUCUGUUGGAUGAUGUGGCAAUGCUGUCUGUCCUGUUAUCAAGUAUGACAAUCUGCUCAGCUUCUCCUAAUGUUGUGGUAGUACCUGGCACUGGCCGCCAAGUGUAAUCUCUCACCGCUAGCCAAAAUAGAUCAAGGCUGACCACUUCAUUCUAAACAUGGAGUGAGCUUAUCUGUCCAAAGAGCAAACGCAGCAGAGGGCAUACUGGUAACAUAAUUGGACAGAGAACUCUAAUCCUCUGUAUUGUAGGAUGUGAAAAGAAAUCUCAGCUGAACAUUCAGCAGCACACUGGAAAGCAAAUGGCAUUCUCAUCACCAAGGAUUUUGAUUAGCAUUUCUGCUGACCUUUUUGUGGGUUCUUUAAAAAGCUGAGGUUGAUUGUUCUGAUGGACGCUUUUAUCAGUCCAGGCACUAAAUAAUUUAUUAAAUGCUUUUGCUGAAGAUGGAGAAUUGGUAACACAAGAGAUGCUUCUGGGAACCAUCUUUCUCAAGUAUAUAAAGAACUUCCUAUAUUUGUGUAUUCUGUACUUAGAUGAACGUAUAUUGUCCACAAACAUGAGCUGCAUUACAAGGGAGCUAUGCACACAUUAAUUUGGUUAAUCUCAGGUAACAAUUUAAAAGUGGGUUUGGCUGUCAUGUUCUGCCAGGAGGUCUGUAUACUGGAAAAACUGCACCUCCAACAGGAGACCACUGAAUAAGCAACCGAUGGUUAAGAGCCAUUGAAGAUUGCUUCCUGGUCCUAGUUUCAGAGUUAAAAAUGCUUGACAGAACAGCAAUAAGCCUUUUCUAUGCAGGCAGCAAUACCUAUAUUACAGUUAUCUUUCUCAAAUAAAAUGCAGAAGAGAAAACUCUAUGACUGAGUUACACUGUUGUAGUUUGCCUUCUCUCCCCCCCCCCUCCACCCCCCCCUAGAAAAAAAGGUGUUGAAUGCAUGCAUGUUUAUGUGGACAUGUCAUGUCAUCAGAACUGGAUGGCUGCCAGAGAAGGAGUACUUAUAUAUAGUCAGACAUUCCUUUUAUGUUAUCGAUACCUGGUAUCUUUCCAAAAUAAUCUUGCCUAAUUUUGGACACUUUAAAGACUGAUUUAGCUGUGUUGCUUCAUUGAAAUCUUGGGAAAGGUUGCCUUGUGAAGCACUACUAAAAAUGUCAGACUAAAUAAAUCAUUAAAAAUAAUUGGGUUAUUUUUCCUGCAUUUCUUCAGAACAUAACCAAAAUCAAAUCAAUUCAUCCUUUUCCUGCUGUUAUUAGUAUCUAGCUCAAAUUUUCUGAAGACUGAAACUGUAUGGUAACAUAUAUCUCUGUUAUGGCACCAUGUAUCUGUUAGAUAACGCAGUACAGAUUGAGACUUUUAUUGUAUGUUUAAGAUUGAUUUGUAUUACCUUGUGUAACUGGCCAUGUAGAAGCUGGCUCGGUAGUUAUUCUCUGUGGCAUUCUCCCUAUGUAAAAUUAAAAAGUUUUCCCUGUG